UACAGAGGUCCCGAGCGUUGUUCGGAUUCAUUGGGCGUAAAGGGUGCGUAGGCGGCUUUCUAAGUUUGAUGCGAAAUCCUGGGGCUCAACCCUGGAACUGCAUUGAAUACUGGGAGGCUAGAGUACUGGAGAGGAAACUGGAAUUUACGGUGUAGCAGUGAAAUGCGUAGAGAUCGUAAGGAAGACCAGUGGCGAAGGCGAGUUUCUGGACAGUUACUGACGCUGAGGCACGAAGGCCAGGGGAGCAAACAGG
rnacentral:rRNA from 1 species